CCUCUAAAUGCAUACUGAUGAUGGCUUUUGUGAGCUAUUACUUGAUGGGGGCAAAAAUAUUUCAAAUUUUGGAGACAUUCAUGAAGUGCUGAAAAAUUCCAUUUGAGAGGCCAAAGCAGCUUUAAUGGCAAACUAUGCUGACAUAACUACAGAAGAAGUUGAAAUCUUUACAGCGUCCAUCAGGUUACAAGUCAAUUGCUCCCAGAAUUCCUACUGGUCAGAUACUCUGUAUUUUCUAUGCUUUAUUGAGGAUCCCUCAAAUUAUCAUAUUCCUGAAUUUUGUGAGCAAGGCAGUGUCACCGCCAUUUUCAGGACUUUGGAAAUACUUUCAGAAUAUGGGAAUGGAAGAGAGACAAGUAAAAAUUUACAGACUCUUCUUCUUCCAGACUUCUCAUUUUCAUCCUGCUACCACCAUUAACUUUUGUGCAUACAGUGGGCUGGACUUAUAAGAAAGGAUUAUAUUUUGCAUUCACCUUAAGCAUCAUUGGGUUUGGUGACUAUGUAUUAGACUGAAGACUGAGAUCUAUGGAAUGGUGGUGACAUUUCUCAAAAUGACAUGGAAAGAUCCACCCACGAUUUUUUUUUUUUUACAUUACAUGCCCAUAUUCCUGCCUGUGCUGGGAUACAGAUUUUGUUAUCCAGAGGAGGAAUGCUCCCUCUAGAGGACAAGAAUGGUUCCACUGAACUGGAAGUGGAGACAGUCGUCUGAUGCUUUUGAGGUCCACAUUUCACUGAGGUAAAAGGCUUUGUGGAAACAUUCUGCAGUCCUGAUGAAUGAAAACUAUUACAAGUAUUGUAUUCCAAGCACUGGCUUCUUUUUUUCUUCUACACCCUCUGUUUCAGAUGUGUUCUUACUUAGCUUUGUUUCCAUUUUUUGCAAGAAGCUGGUUAUUAUAUUAAAUAGAAGAGCAAUCC